GAUGAACGCUGGCGGCGUGCCUAAUACAUGCAAGUCGAGCGAACAGACGAGGAGCUUGCUUCUUUGACGUUAGCGGCGGACGGGUGAGUAACACGUAGGUAACCUACCUAUAAGACUGGGAUAACUUCGGGAAACCGGAGCUAAUACCGGAUAAUAUUUCGAACCGCAUGGUUCGAUAGUGAAAGAUGGCUUUGCUAUCACUUAUAGAUGGACCUGCGCCGUAUUAGCUAGUUGGUAAGGUAACGGCUUACCAAGGCAACGAUACGUAGCCGACCUGAGAGGGUGAUCGGCCACACUGGAACUGAGACACGGUCCAGACUCCUACGGGAGGCAGCAGUAGGGAAUCUUCCGCAAUGGGCGAAAGCCUGACGGAGCAACGCCGCGUGAGUGAUGAAGGUCUUCGGAUCGUAAAACUCUGUUAUUAGGGAAGAACAAACGUGUAAGUAACUGUGCACGUCUUGACGGUACCUAAUCAGAAAGCCACGGCUAACUACGUG
rnacentral:rRNA from 1 species